GGGACAAAAACCGCUCAAUAAAGAUCUUUGGAUCAGUUCCUCCAUCUGGCUGAGCUCCAUGCUCAUACCCAGUUCUGUCUCUGCUCUGAGGAAGCAAAGUGGGGACUCCCUACACAGGAGCCAUCGGCAUUCCUUAUGGUGAUGUCCCCUCCUCCCCUGCACACCCCACCAAUCCCUAAGCCGGCUUAGCUCCGUAGGUGCCUUGGGCCAGGCCAGGCAGCCUGGGAAGCCUUCUGAGUGCCUGAGGGGUGUGCCUGCGGUCUUUGUUUCAGAGAUGACGAGGGAAACACAAGGGCCGUUGGAGGGAGAGGGCACGAGUGAAGCCUACAGUCCCCACAGCUUCUAUGACAACACCAUUCAGAUUGGCAAGCUCUGGAACGUGUAGAAGACGAUGGGGACCAAACCAUAACAUCUUUGGCCCAAGCCUUACUGGAAGAAGUUGGGAGCAAUCCUGCCUCCCAGUUCCCCACUCCAAGAAAGACCAUACUGGGCAUCAGAAUCCCACAGAGGAAGACACACCUCUUCAAAAAAGGAAAAAACAACCCUCGUCGAAAGAGCUGUCCCCGAAAAAUUCGCGCCUUCUUUCACAGGUGGCGCAACAGACGCGUUAUGGAUGCUCCACCGUGAGAGGCUACAAGAACUGAGGCACAAGAACAUCUCAAGGUCCACACGAGGCCAGGCACGGUGGCAUGCCCCUGGAGUCCCAGCCACUCAGGAGGCUGAGGCAAGAGGAUCGCUUGAGGCCAGGAGUUCAAGCUGCAGUGAACAACCACCACCACCACCACCACCACCGCCACCACCACAACAACAACGACCAAACAGAAACCUACUGUGUCUGCCUACUGUCUACAGAAACCUACUGUCAAAUCUGCCUCCUCAGUUUUAAUCCAAAGCAGCCCCUUGCCUGGGACCAAAAAUAGUCUCACUGACAUCUGGACAAACAAGUGGGAGCAGCUUUAGUACCCCAAUCUAAAUAUUAACUCGCAAAUGGCUUUUAAUCAGAACCAAUUCUUUAAGGGGACUCUUAUUGUUUUUACUUUUUUAAGAGACACAGUCUUGUUCUGUCACCCAUGCUGGGGUGUAAUGGCACUUUCAUAGCUUAGUGCAGCCUGGAACUCCUGGCCUCAAGCAAUCCUCCCGCCUCAGCUUCCUGAGUAGUUGGGACUCAGGCAACAUGCCCGUACCAAGCUAGUUUAUUUUUUACAUUUUACUUUUUAUAUUGUUAAAAUAUUUUUCCAAACCAAAGUGUCAUGAACAGCACAAGGCCACAGAUAACAAGGCCAGCACACAUUUGUGUUUCUCCACAAUUGGAACAAACUGGUAAAUAUUUGUUUCUCUAAACAUAGCUAAUGUAGAAAGGGUACAGUUAAGAUAUGGUGUGAAAGACUAAAAUGUUACACAUAUUUAGGACACUAUGAUAUGAUGAAGCAUACAUAUUUGUUUUUGUCCCUGGUUCCUGGCUUAUAACUCCCAUAGCCCUUCUACAGUCUUCUGUUAUAAUGUUGGUGGAUUUAGGCCUCAGAAGUAGGACUCUGAAAACAGAAAUUUCACUUUGACCCUCUCCCGUCCUCCUUUCACUUGCUGGAGAGAGCACUCUAAUCUGCUUGUGGGUCACAAGACCCUCAUUCCAGAGAGGGUCCUGCCCCAUUCCUAGGCAGAAGGAAAGCUGUGCAACGAGUUGAAGAGGGAUCUCUGCACAGGGUUUGCUGGGUUUCCCACUCAGUGUAAUAGUGUUAGGUCAUAUCCUUUUUGUCCGAUCACAUUUCUACGUGGUUGUCAAUCAUGCCUAUCCAAUGAAGUCUCCCUAAAAGGCCCAAAACGACAGGGUUCAGGGAGCUCCCAGACAGUUGGACGGCUGGAGGCUCACAGGGAGGUCAGCCAGAACUCCCACCCACGUGCCAGGAGGGUGGUGCUCCAGCGCCGCAGAGACAGAAGCUUCAGCGCUGGUCCCUCUGUUUGCAAUGUUCUCAUGACUUGCCAGUUUCCUACCCCUUCAUCUGGCUGUUUAUUGGCAUCGUAUAAAACCGGUCCUUUGUGAUAAGCCAGCAAGGGCAAGUGUUUCCCUGAGUCCGGGAGCUGCUCUAGCAAAUUAAUGAAGAUUUUCAUAAAAUUAGCAAGAAGUAAUGAGAACAGAAAAAACAAAGUAUCAAAAAAAUGCUUGCCAGUGAAAACUAAAACAAUGCACAAUACAUAGUUUGGAGAUUACUAUAAGUGGAGUCAAAGAAGAACACAGAAUGUAUAAACAGGCCUCACUGCUGAGUCAUAGAAAGCCUGUGUGUGCAUUAGGAGAAGAAUUGUUCUUCCUAGCCCUGAGUUUUGAAAAGGGUUUGUUAAGGUCUUUGAGUUAAUUCUAUGAUGUCGCCAUCUAAUGUAGUUUAGUGAAAAUUGCAGUGGUCGUCCACAUGGGGCUAACUUCUGCUUUUACCUUUGCGACUGUUGGGGCUCAGAAACUGAUGUCCCUGUGACACUUUGACAGGCUGAACUGAAGAAGCCUCCAGGUCUGUCUGACCUCACCCUCCCCACUGUCUCCCCCAGAGGAGUGGAAGUUCCUGCAUCUGCCUAAGACCCAGACCCGCCAAGGAGAACAAUUGUUCCUUUUCUUCCCGUCCCCAUGAGACUGGGAGUCUCAGCGCAUCUGCGCAGACUCAUUUAGAAGAUGA
ensembl:lincRNA